ACCUUAAAAAUCAAGUUAAAUGGUGGGGCUUCAUUGUGGUGGCAAAGUUAGGGGCUUUGAAUGACUUUCAGAAUGUGGCUGGCUCAGCUAAAGCAGGCCAGCAGGCAAGCCGAGACUGACUCUUGUUGGAGAAGAAGGAAGAAUAUUUGCCCUGUACAAGUGGAGCUCAGACAGAAACCAAAUCAGCAAUGCAAGAAGCCAGCCAUGCCCCACCCUGGCAAUGAAAAAGAAGGAGGAAGGUAUGGUCAACACCGUUGAGCUUUGUCCCACACAGAUUUUCCACUCAGGACGGCCCAUCUCCAUCAUGCCACACCAGCACCACCAUGAUGUCCAAAGAGAGUUUCUUCUCGAUAGUUAAUAAGGUUCCUCCACAUUCAAAAAUGCUCUUGUUUUCCUAAUAACUGGCCCCCUGCCCCGAAUUCCCAUAGGAUGGUGGUGCUUCCUCAUCCU